rnacentral:rRNA from 1 species
GAUGAACGCUAGCGGCAGGCCUAAUACAUGCAAGUCGGACGGGAUCCAUUGAUAGCUUGCUAUCAAUGGUGAGAGUGGCGCACGGGUGCGUAACGCGUGAACAACCUGCCUCCAUCAGGGGGAUAGCCUCUCGAAAGAGAGAUUAACACCGCAUAAUAUCAACAGUUCGCAUGUUCAGUUGAUUAAAUAUUUAUAGGAUGGAGAUGGGCUCGCGUGACAUUAGCUAGUUGGUAGGGUAACGGCUUACCAAGGCGACGAUGUCUAGGGGCUCUGAGAGGAGAAUCCCCCACACUGGUACUGAGACACGGACCAGACUCCUACGGGAGGCAGCAGUAAGGAAUAUUGGUCAAUGGGCGGAAGCCUGAACCAGCCAUGCCGCGUGCAGGAUGACUGCCCUAUGGGUUGUAAACUGCUUUUGUCCAGGAAUAAACCUAAAUACGAGUAUUUAGCUGAAUGUACUGGAAGAAUAAGGAUCGGCUAACUCCGUG